AUCACUUCUCAGUCUUCUGCCUAAGAUCAACUGUAAUUUCUGUUCUUAUCAGUUUAAUAUCUGAUAUAUCCUUCAGCCAGGACAAAAAAAAAAGAAAAAAGAAAAGGAAAGAAAAUCAUU
rnacentral:snRNA from 1 species